rnacentral:rRNA from 1 species
GUGGGGAAUAUUGGGCAAUGGGGGCAACCCUGACCCAGCGACGCCGCGUGAGGGAAGAAGGCCUUAGGGUCGUAAACCUCUGUUGUGUGGGAAGAAGAGCGUGACGGUACCACACGAGGAAGUCCCGGCUAACUACGUGCCAGCAGCCGCGGUAAUACGUAGGGGACGAGCGUUGUCCGGAUUUACUGGGCGUAAAGGGCGCGUAGGCGGUCAUUUAAGUCAGCUGUGAAAUGGUUUGGCUUAACCGGAUCAUGCGGUUGAAACUGGAUGACUGGAGUGCUGGAGAGGCAAGUGGAAUUCCCAGUGUAGCGGUGAAAUGCGUAGAUAUUGGGAAGAACACCGGUGGCGAAGGCGACUUGCUGGCCAGCAACUGACGCUGAGGCGCGAAAGCCAGGGGAGCAAACGGGAUUAGAAACCCUAGUAGUCC